UGUGAGCCAUGUGAUCACCCUCGCGCCCGACGCAGAGUCGCUGUAAUGAAUGCUCGGGAAGUUAUGGAGAGAAAGGAUACGAUCCCAGUGAUUAAUGCCAAAGCCCUGUUGCCUGGGGAGAGGGUGAUGUUUGACUUUCUUGUACAGCUGCAGUUUGUGUGGUGAAGGUGCUCCCACAAUGUGGUUGGGCAUUUUGUAUGAGCCAACAUGGACUAUUUGCUGUUCCAGAUGGGGGCAGGCCACACACCCACAACAGAAAAUCAACCAAGAUUCAAGUAUUAAAAUAAAAAUCACCAUUCGCUACCAUUGGUAUCUGUACAGUGCAAUACGUUUCUGUCACUGAGCCUUAAUUUCAAACUGAAAGCUGGAUAUACUGGAUUUAAUCAAUAAUUAAAUAUUAGAUAUGAUUUGGAGAUGCCAGUGUUGGACUGGGGUGUACAAAGUUAAAAAUCGCACAACACCAGGUUAUAGUCCAACAGUUUUAAUUUGAAGCACACUAGCUUUCGGAGCGACGGUCCUUCAUCAGCUAAUAGUGCCCGCCACUAUCAGCUGAUGAAGGAGCGUUGCUCUGAAAGUUACUGUGUUUCCAAUUAAACCUGUUGGACUAUAACUUGGUGUUGUGUGAUUUUUAACUAAAUGUUAGAUAUAAGCAACAAUUAGUCUUAAAAACAUUUCAUAGCAAACUUAAAAAUGACUAGAAAUCUUAUAGAACUGCCCGUGAUGUAUAAAAAUUAAGAGUAUUUAUUGGAGUGCAAACAAUUUUACGUCUGUUAAUAUGUAAGACCGAAUUUUAAUCCAAUGGUUUCUACGAACAUUCAAAGGAGGAAGAUACAGAUAUUAUCUGUGAGUGUUGGAUGGGGAGUCAUGAGUUAGUUUGUGGUUGUGUCGACCUGGAAUGAGAGAACUAUUAUUCUUUGCAAUAUUGGCACUAAGACAUAAUGGAUUAAACUACAAUGGGAAUUUGAUGAUGUUUGUUACGAAACCUAAACCGAAUUGCUGUAUGAUUUUUGGAGAGACAAUGAAUUAUUAAUUAAUUUUAGAACUCUGUUAAGAUGAACGAAUCAAUAUUUCCAAAUGGGUUGAACAUUGAUCAGAAGUGGUUUAUCAUUCAAAAUUCUCAGAUCUUCAAGAAUUCCACACUUGGUGUCUCUGCUUUGCUUCUGAAGAAAUAUAAUAUAUAAGAACAAGUUAUGUAUUAUAUUUAAUUCAUGCAAUUU